GAUGAAGAACGCAGCGAAAUGCGAUAAGUAAUGCGAAUUGCAGAAUUUCCGUGAGUCAUCGAGUCUUUGAACGCACAUUGCGCCCCCUGGUAUUCCGGGGGGCAUGCCUGUCCGAGCGUCAUUGCUGCCCUCAAGCACGGCUUGUGUGUUGGGCCCCGUCCUCCGAUCCCGGGGGACGGGCCCGAAAGGCAGCGGCGGCACCGCGUCCGGUCCUCGAGCGUAUGGGGCUUUGUCACCCGCUCUGUAGGCCCGGCCGGCGCUUGCCGAUCAACCCAAAUUUUUAUCCAGGUUGACCUCGGAUCAGGUAGGGAUACCCGCUGAACUUAAGCAUAUCAAUAAGCGGAGGA
rnacentral:misc_RNA from 1 species